rnacentral:rRNA from 1 species
CUGGAGGUAUCAGAAGUGCGAAUGCUGACAUAAGUAACGAUAAAGCGGGUGAAAAGCCCGCUCGCCGGAAGACCAAGGGUUCCUGUCCAACGUUAAUCGGGGCAGGGUGAGUCGACCCCUAAGGCGAGGCCGAAAGGCGUAGUCGAUGGGAAACAGGUUAAUAUUCCUGUACUUGGUGUUACUGCGAAGGGGGGACGGAGAAGGCUAUGUUGGCCGGGCGACGGUUGUCCCGGUUUAAGCGUGUAGGCUGGUUUUCCAGGCAAAUCCGGAAAAUCAAGGCUGAGGCGUGAUGACGAGGCACUACGGUGCUGAAGCAACAAAUGCCCUGCUUCCAGGAAAAGCCUCUAAGCAUCAGGUAACAUCAAAUCGUACCCCAAACCGACACAGGUGGUCAGGUAGAGAAUACCAAGGCGCUUGAGAGAACUCGGGUGAAGGAACUAGGCAAAAUGGUGCCGUAACUUCGGGAGAAGGCACGCUGAUAUGUAGGUGAAGUCCCUCGCGGAUGGAGCUGAAAUCAGUCGAAGAUACCAGCUGGCUGCAACUGUUUAUUAAAAACACAGCACUGUGCAAACACGAAAGUGGACGUAU